rnacentral:rRNA from 1 species
AAUAUUGGACAAUGGGCGCAAGCCUGAUCCAGCCAUGCCGCGUGUGUGAAGAAGGNCUNNUGGUUNUNAAGCACUUUAAGCGANNNNNAGGCUACUUUAGUUAAUCCCUAGAGAUAGUGGACGUUACUCGCAGAAUAAGCACCGGCUCACUCUGUGCCAGCAGCCGCGGUAAUACAGAGGGUGCAAGCGUUAAUCGGAUUUACUGGGCGUAAAGCGCGCGUAGGCGGCUAAUUAAGUCAAAUGUGAAAUCCCCGAGCUUAACUUGGGAAUUGCAUUCGAUACUGGUUAGCUAGAGUGUGGGAGAGGAUGGUAGAAUUCCAGGUGUAGCGGUGAAAUGCGUAGAGAUCUGGAGGAAUACCGAUGGCGAAGGCAGCCAUCUGGCCUAACACUGACGCUGAGGUGCGAAAGCAUGGGGAGCAAACAGG